rnacentral:piRNA from 1 species
UAGGAGAGGCUUCGACUUACCUGGUACCUG